rnacentral:rRNA from 1 species
GACGAACGCUGGCGGCGUGCCUAACACAUGCAAGUCGAGCGGAGUUAAUUGAAAGCUUGCUUUUGGUUAACUUAGCGGCGGACGGGUGAGUAACGCGUGGGCAACCUGCCUAUCACAGGGGGAUAACACAGGGAAACUUGUGCUAAUACCGCAUAAUACAGCGAGAAAGCAUUUUCUUGUUGUCAAUGGAGCAAUCCGGUGAUAGAUGGGCCCGCGUCCAAUUAGCUAGUUGGUGAUGUAACGGACCACCAAGGCGACGAUUGGUAGCCGAACUGAGAGGUUGAUCGGCCACAUUGGGACUGAGACACGGCCCAGACUCCUACGGGAGGCAGCAGUGGGGAAUAUUGCACAAUGGGGGAAACCCUGAUGCAGCAACGCCGCGUGAAGGAUGAAGGUUUUCGGAUUGUAAACUUCUUUAGUCAGGGACGAAUAAAUGACGGUACCUGGAGAAUAAGCACCGGCUAACUACGUGCCAGCAGCCGCCGUAA